CCUUUGGUAGCUCAACUGGUAGAGCAUGGGACUAUAAAACAGAACAUCCCAAGGUUGCUGGUUCAAUUCCAGUCCGAAGGA